rnacentral:lncRNA from 1 species
CGCGGUUAAUUGGAACCCUCUCUCCUCGUCAUCCUCCUCCUCGCCCCCUCCCCUUCUCCACCACCUCCUCCUCCUCCUCGUCCGUGGCCUCCGACGCCCCCGCUCGGGUCCUCGGAGUCGGCGGCGUCCUCCGCGGCGAGCCUCGGCGGUUCUCCGGCGCGGACGUGGCCGCGUACGCGGCGGUGAGCGGCGACCGCAACCCCCUCCACCUCGACGCCGAGUUCGCGCGGGGUGUCGCCGGGUUCGAGCGCGGGAGCGUCGUCCACGGCAUGCUCGUCGCCUCCCUCUUCCCCUCCCUCAUCGCCUCCCACUUCGUACGCUUCCCCUCCCUCUUUUCGGAAUUUCGUCGAACAGGUGGUGGGCGGAUGAGUUGUGUGUGCAGUUACGAGUCUGGGGAGUUGGGUUUGUUUCGGGAAGGUCGAUAUCAAUAUUUUGGCUUAUCACUCUCUCAUCGCCUCCCACUUCGUAGUAUUCUCCGUCCAAUUUCAUGAGCAUUUGUCGAUGGGGAAUUUCGUCGAACAGGUGGUGGGCGGAUGAGUUGUGAGCGUAGUUGCGAGUUUUGGGAGUUUGGGUUUGAUUUGGGUAAGUCGAAAAGUUCAGAGCUUGGCGAAAGAUUUGGAGAAUUUGGAAAAAGAAAAAGAAAAAUAGCAAUAGUUUGGUUUAUCACUCACUCAUCGCCUACCACUUCAUAGGAUUCUGCUUCCCAUUUCGUGAGCAUUUGUCCAUUGGGAAUUUCGUCGAACAGGUGGUGGACGGAUGAGUUGUGUGCGUAGUUGCGAGUUUGGUGGGUUUGGGUUUGAUUCUGAAAGGUCGAAAAGUUGACAGUUUGGUGAAAGGUUUGGGGAAUUUGAGGGGAAAAGAAAAACCAAAAAAAAAAUUGCAAUAGUUUGGUUUAUAANCCAUUGGAUCUACUUUUUAAUUACUAAUAGUCUUUAGAUCAAACACUAUUCCACUUACCACCACCUACCACCACCUAUCACCAUCAUCUCAACCUCACAUCUCUCUCCAUCCAAGGGCUAAAAACACAUAAGUAUCACUUGGGUGAUACUUUUACAAGUAUUCUAGCUCUACUAUAUAUAUAUAUAUAUAGAAUAAAUUUUUUAUUUGAUUCUCGGUGCGGAUCGUAUCUAUCGUAUUUUAUUGUGCCAAUAAGAUAUAGUUCUCGUGUGGAUGACAUAAUUUUUAAUUUUUUUUAAAAAUUAUUAAGUAAUUUUUUUAAUAAAAUUUAAAAGAUUCGAUAAAGAUGUAUAAUAAGUCAUUAAAAGAUUUUAUUGUUAAAAAAUAAAUAUUUUUAUAUUAUUAUAUGCCGGCGUAAGCGCACAUGUAUUAUAUAUUAAUUAUUUGAGUGGCGAAUAUAUAUUAUAUUAAUUAUUUGAGUUGCGAAGGGACGACAAAGUAUAAAUUCGUGAGAGGUUCACUCACCCUCUUCGCCUCCUACUGCUUUAGGAUGCGCCUCGCGCGGUUAAUUGGAACCCUCUCUCCUCGUCAUCCUCCUCCUCGCUCCCUCCCCUUCUCCACCACCUCCUCCUCCUCCUCGUCCGUGGCCUCCGACGCCCCCGCUCGGGUCCUCGGAGUCGGCGGCGUCCUCCGCGGCGAGCCUCGGCGGUUCUCCGGCGCGGACGUGGCCGCGUACGCGGCGGUGAGCGGCGACCGCAACCCCCUCCA